rnacentral:rRNA from 1 species
CCCUUAGAUGUUCUGGGCCGCACGCGUGCUACACUGAGUAAUUCAAUGGGUAAGGGAACGCUAGAGCAUUACCUAAUCUUGAAAUUUGCUCGUGAUGGGGAUCGACGGUUGCAAUUUUCCGUCGUGAACGAGGAAUACCUUGUAGGCGUAUGUCAUCAUCAUGCGCCGAAUACGUCCCUGCCCUUUGUACACACCGCCCGUCGCUCCUACCGAUUGAGUGAUCCGGUGAGGCUCUGGGACCUGGACGGAAAGAGCGUUUCGCUUGUUCUGUUUGGGAAACUUGGUCGAACCUUAUCAUUUAGAGGAAGGAGAAGUCGUAACA